CUCCUCUUGGUGUAGUUGGUUUGUAUGUCUCCCCCACCUCAUCCCUGAGUAAGCGCAAUGCGGAAUGCUGACCUUGUCAGAUCACGUUCGACUGUAAUAGUGUUAUGCUAUCGAAAGGUCCCUAGUUCGAUUCUGGGAGAGGAGA